GGAACGGGGGCCCCCGCGGCGCGCGGCCGGCCAUGGCCGGGAAAGACACGAACACGAAACAAAUGAAAUGGAGUUCACCAUCUCUCUACUGGAAAAAAAUGAACUGUACGAUUCAUUCUCAAGACAUAACCAGACCAUAUAUCCUUAACUCUUCAUCUCCUGUCUCAUUUGAGCUAGUCAUAGCCAUAUAAGCUUGUAAACACUUUUGCCUUUAAAUAUUAACUGAAUUUUGAGGCUAUAAUAUGCCUGUUUCUGGAGUGAUAUGCAGAAAAAGCAGCCUUCAAAGUCAGUGUAUUUUCUGUAGUGCCACAGACAAAUCAGGAUGCAUUCCAUUGCUGUGAAAAAUAGUCCUUUCUUCCGCUUUGCCCUGCUGAAAAUGUUUGUAUGUCUUUGGCCUGGAGACAUAGAUGUUAUAAAUUCUCUUUUUUUUUAAUAGAAACAGCAGCAGAAUAAAUGUUGUAAUGAU